rnacentral:lncRNA from 1 species
CCUUUCUCUGAAUGCCCCAAUGACCGUAUAUGGAGUGUAUAGUAGUAGACGACUAGCUCUGGACCAUGCGUUGGAUGUACGUGCAGCUUGCAUGUGCGUGGACCAGGUUGAUAACAAAUUUAGCCAAUCUUUUCUAACAGACUCUCUUGCCUGAGAACUAUGACCACACUUUGUGCUCAUACCAACCACUGGGAGAAACACAGUUCAGAUCCUCGCUGAAGUUGAAACUGUGCUCUGAGGAAGAGAACAACCCCAACCACAGUCUGACAAGUGCUGAGGGACUGAAGAGGAGAGAUGUCAGCGGACACCAUUGAGAAAUUGACAAAGCUGUUUGAAAUAGACCACUCUCCUUCAUCAGCUCUAAAAACGAUCAAAUAUGAGGUGGAUGUGCAUGCCUCUGUGGAUCGCUCCAUUUGCCCCGACCUUCAAUUCUGCUACAAAUUGUACCGCAAGCUUUUCAAGGAAGCAUGUGUUGCAUCGUAUGUGGAGAAGAAGAUUGAUGAUUCUAACGAGCAUCUGGAUAACUGCAAUGAAGAAUGUUCACAAUUUCGCAACAUUAUCCCUGACAGGCAAUAUAGAAGACUUAACAAUCUGGCUGUCUGAUGGUUGUAGUUCUCUCCUCCUACAAUAGACCGUGGCAAUGCGUCUGAGGACACCGUUGAAAUUGAGCGUGCUCCCGUUUCUGAUGUUAACGGCUCAGGUACAUCUGGAAAACUAGCUGAGGGGGUGACGUUAGAGGAAGAGUGGAUGGACAUCUUUGAAGACCUCAAAAAGAGGAUGAGGGAGGAUCCUGUGAGUUUCAGGCCUGCAGUAGCAUCCUUCGUUUCCAGCUUAAAGAAGAUGAAAACAGACAGUGAACUCAUAGCCGCACUACCAAACUUUGGCAUAACCAACCCUGGACCAACAGCAAAGUUUUACCGGGGACGGGCACGCCCCACAGAGAGCUCCGUAGGAGAGCAUGGACAUGGCACAUGCAGCUGGAAGAGGAAGGCACCCCAUUGAAUGUCUCAGUGUGUGGAAUAACACAUGGACAUUGGGAGUACUACACACAAAAAAGCAAGUCAACAUCAGUGGCCCCCUGUGCCCAUCAUCCACCUGCUCACCAUCUGUGACCUCCAGUGCACUAGCGCUCUGCCUACCGGCUCUAGGUCUCCUCCGCCUUGAACAAAACCAGGGACUAUUUCAAUGCAUUGUGGCCUCUCCAACACCAGAACCAGUGGCUAUUUCAAUAUUGCAUUCUUGCCUUUUUGUUUUACGUUAAUUCAAUGGAAGACGUUUCUGCAAUUUCAUAUCUUUUUAAAAUUGAUUCCAUGUUGAAGGACCAUCAGAUUUUAAAAAGCUGUUCUGCUAACCCAGUUGCAGGCCUAUACUAUCACUGAACCAAAGCAGUAGUUGUCUUGACUUAUAUCUCAAAUUGUAUUGGUCACAUACACAUGGUUAGCAGAUGUUAAUGCGAGUGUAGUGAAAUGCUUGUGCAUAUACUGGUAUAUGUUGUGCAUCAAGUUGUGUCCUUUUUAUGUUGAACAAAUGCAAGACUACAAUUUUAAUGAUGGGUUGUAAGACACAUAAUUAAGUGUUUAUUUGUACAUUAAAAAAAAAUAUCCAGAGGGGAACCUGC